ACUCAAAGGAAUAGACGGGGGCCCGCACAAGCGGUGGAGCAUGUGGUUUAAUUCGAUGGUACGCGAGGAACCUUACCAGGGCUUGACAUGGGGCGGAGCGGGCGUGAAAGCGUCCGGCCCUUCGGGGCCGUCCCACAGGUGCUGCAUGGUUGUCGUCAGCUCGUGCUGUGAAGUGUUGGGUUAAGUCCCGCAACGAGCGCAACCCCUGCCGUCUGUUGCCAGCAAGUGAAGUUGGGGACUCAGGCGGAACUGCCGGUGACAAACCGGAGGAAGGUGGGGACGACGUCAAAUCAUCAUGGCCUUUAUGUCCUGGGCCACACACGUGCUACAAUGGCCGGUACAGAGCGCAGCGAAGCCGCGAGGCAAAGCGAAUCGCCCAAAGCCGGUCUCAGUACGGAUUGGAGUCUGAAACUCGACUCCAUGAAGUUGGAAUCGCUAGUAAUCGCGCAUCAGCAUGGCGCGGUGAAUACGUUCCCGGGCCUUGCACACACCGCCCGU
rnacentral:rRNA from 1 species